UCCCUGGUGGCUCAGAGGUUAAAGCAUCUGCUUGCAAUGCAGGAGACCUGGGUUCGAUCCCUGGGUGGGGAA
rfam:TPA: Bos taurus chromosome X, whole genome shotgun sequence.